GACGAACGCUGGCGGCGUGCUUAACACAUGCAAGUCGAACGGAAAGGCCCUUCGGGGUACUCGAGUGGCGAACGGGUGAGUAACACGUGGGUGAUCUGCCCUGCACUUUGGGAUAAGCCUGGGAAACUGGGUCUAAUACCGAAUAGGACCACGCGCUUCAUGGUGUGUGGUGGAAAGCUUUUGCGGUGUGGGAUGGGCCCGCGGCCUAUCAGCUUGUUGGUGGGGUAAUGGCCUACCAAGGCGACGACGGGUAGCCGGCCUGAGAGGGUGACCGGCCACACUGGGACUGAGAUACGGCCCAGACUCCUACGGGAGGCAGCAGUGGGGAAUAUUGCACAAUGGGCGCAAGCCUGAUGCAGCGACGCCGCGUGAGGGAUGACGGCCUCGGUUGUAACGUACUUCUACUAGGACGAAGACGUGAGUGACGGUACCG
rnacentral:rRNA from 1 species